GGCCGGAUAGCUUAGUCGGUUAGAGCGCGGCGCUAACAACGCUAAGGUGGUGGGUGCAAUCUCAACUCUGGCCA
rnacentral:tRNA from 1 species